CAUCAAGAGAAAAUCAUACAAUGGAGUAGUUCUCCCCUCAUAAGGCAAUUGCACCGGUCCCAUUGAAAACACCACACCAACAAGACAAGCCAUUGAGUUCCUCUGUUUCAGCACAGGCAGCUGUCAAGCAAGAUGUCAACAAACAAACUUGUAGCCAGGAAUGAACGAUCAUAACACUGGCCCUUGGUCCAAAAAGCAAAAACAAAGACACUUCUAUGGCCCACCC
rnacentral:lncRNA from 1 species